rnacentral:lncRNA from 1 species
CCUGGUAUGUAUUAAAAGAUGCCUAUUUAUAGUGUUGCAAUUGUGACUUUGAUAGCCACGUGGCUUAUUACAAGUGUUUGCAUUGGGCCCUAUUUUGAAGGUAGUCAUAAACUCACCAUAAACCUAUCACAAGUUGGUUCUCGCUAAGGUAUCUUCGACUUGCAUCAUUGUUGAGCUUGUCGCCAACAAAUUAUCCUUAGGUGAACCAAUAUGCGUAGUCGCAUGCCAUAAAAUGUCCACGAUGUGCAAAGUUGAUAUUUAUCCUAAAACAAUUUUAUACUAAAAUACCCCUAACUAGUUACUACCUUUGUUCUGAUGCAUAUUGUCUAUUGGUUUAUCAAUAUACUCUAAAGAAAAAUCUGAAAUUUAAAAUUAUUCUUUCCGAAAAACUUAAUGGUGGUGGCACAAAAAGUUUGUGGGGUGCAAGAAUUAAGACCCUUAUACUAAUGUUAUGGAUUUUUUUUUUUGAAUACUAAUGUCAUAGCUUUGAACCGACAGCCCAAUGUUGUACAUGUUUAGUGUGAAAGGUUACCUAUUAUUUGAAGUCACUAUAAUUUAGGCCUUUUUUGUUUAACAAAGAGAAGAAUGCUUGUGACAUCAUAGUAGGAAAAGGCAACACAAUUAUUUUUGCACUCCUACCCGUGAUCCUAUGUCGCCACAAGCAUACCAAAGAAUUUAUUGACAAAAAGAGAGAAAAAUAACACCUGAGGGGAACAAAUCAAACCCAAGAAAAGAACCUAUUUAAAUUGGUAAGUUAUGCCUUAGACGAUGUAUUAUGUAUACACACUUAUUAGGAUGAGGCAUAUUCCAUAUGUAUUGUAAGGGUGGAUGAUGUAGCUCCAUGUGGAGCUUGUAGGCCUUGAAUUUUCUUCACCAAUGAAGUCAUUUGCUUCUUGAAGAUGAAUGGCAGCGGAAUGGAGAAUGAAGGAAGAUGAUUGGAGACGCCACUUCAAGGAGAAGAUGAGUCAAGAACAAGUUCACCACCUUAGGAAGCCAUGGAUAAAAGCUUAAACAUAGGAGAAGAUGAGUGGAAGGAGAAGGAGAGAAGGAACACGAAAUUUUAUGCUUCAAAUGAGGUCUAAACUUUGAAGUGUAAUUCUCAAAUGAUCAAAGUUUCAAAAAUGAUCAAAGUGUCACACAAAAUUGGAGGGAAAUUUGAAUUUCUAUUCAAAUUUCACAUGAAUUUGUGGAGUCAAAUUUUGGAGCCAAAAUUUCACUAUUAUGAUUAGUGAAUUUUAGCUAUGGUUCAGCCCACUAAUCCAAGAUCAAGUCAGAAAUUCUUCACUGAUUGUACUUAUGUGUCAUGAGGCAUGCAAAACAUGAAAGACAUGCAAAAAGUGUGACUAUAUGAUGUGACAAUGAGGUGUAGCAAACAAAUACUCACCCCCCCUCUAAAAUUUAAUUGGAUUGGACUUCUCCCAAUUCAAUUAAAUUUAUUUCCCAACACAUACAUCAAAUAUUCACUUAAUGCAUGUGAAAUUAGAAAACUACCCCUAAUACAAAAACUAGUCUAGAUGCCUUAAAAUACAAGGGUUGAAAAAUCCUACAUUUCUAGGGUACCCUACCUACAUUAUGGAGCCCUAAACACAAAACCUAAAAAUAAUGAAAUCUUAAUCUAAUAUGUGCAAAGAUAAGUGGACCCAACCUUGGUCCAUGAACUCAAAAAUCUAUCCUGAUGUUCAUGAGAAUCUUAGGACUUUCUUUAAUAGCUCUAGCCCAAUUCUCCUAGAGUCUCUUGCUCAUGGCUCCGGUGACUGAUCUUUUCCUAGAGAGGAUUACAUAAGUGGAAGCAGUCUGCUGGCACCAUGCGAGUUUUGUGGCUAACUUUUUGCAC